rnacentral:rRNA from 1 species
UACACUCCUGCGGGAGGCAGCAGUGGGGAAUUUUGGACAAUGGGCGAAAGCCUGAUCCAGCAAUGCCGCGUGAGUGAAGAAGGCCUUCGGGUUGUAAAGCUCUUUUGUCAGGGAAGAAACGGUGAGAGCUAAUAUCUUUUGCUAAUGACGGUACCUGAAGAAUAAGCACCGGCUAACUACGUGCCAGCAGCCGCGGUAAUACGUAGGGUGCAAGCGUUAAUCGGAAUUACUGGGCGUAAAGCGUGCGCAGGCGGUUUUGUAAGUCUGAUGUGAAAUCCCCGGGCUCAACCUGGGAAUUGCAUUGGAGACUGCAAGGCUAGAAUCUGGCAGAGGGGGGUAGAAUUCCACGUGUAGCAGUGAAAUGCGUAGAUAUGUGGAGGAACACCGAUGGCGAAGGCAGCCCCCUGGGUCAAGAUUGACGCUCAUGCACGAAAGCGUGGGGAGCAAACAGGAUUAGAAACCCUAGUAGUCCCA